AGAAAGAGAGAGAGAGAGAGAGAGAGAGAGAGAGAGAGAAUGCUACUAGAAUAAAUUCUUCUCUCUCUGGUCUCUCUCUCUCUCUCUCUCUGGUC
rnacentral:misc_RNA from 12 species